UCUCAUUACUCCUGGUCUUGGGAGUUGCCU
rnacentral:piRNA from 1 species